rnacentral:rRNA from 1 species
GAUGAACGCUGGCGGCGUGCCUAAUACAUGCAAGUCGAGCGAACGGACGAGAAGCUUGCUUCUCUGAUGUUAGCGGCGGACGGGUGAGUAACACGUGGAUAACCUACCUAUAAGACUGGGAUAACUUCGGGAAACCGUAGCUAAUACCGGAUAAUAUUUUGAACCGCAUGGUUCAAAAGUGAAAGACGGUCUUGCUGUCACUUAUAGAUGGAUCCGCGCUGCAUUAGCUAGUUGGUAAGGUAACGGCUUACCAAGGCAACGAUGCGUAGCCGACCUGAGAGGGUGAUCAGCCACACUGGAACUGAGACACGGUCCAGACUCCUACGGGAGGCAGCAGUAGGGAAUCUUCCGCAAUGGGCGAAAGCCUGACGGAGCAACGCCGCGUGAGUGAUGAAGGUCUUCGGAUCGUAAAACUCUGUUAUUGGGGAAGAACAGAUGUGUAAGUAACUGUGCACGUCUUGACGGUACCUAAUCAGAAAGCCACGGCUAACUACGUG